AAAAUCUGAGGAAAUGGUGAAACCAUUGAAGAAAGCAUUAACUUUACUUCUUCCUUCUUCCAGAUCCAAGGAUCUCUGCUUACCCUCGAAUUACUUCCACCUCAACUGAUUACAUAUCAUUUGAAGGGAACAUAAUUAUUCUCAGUAGUGAUGAACCACCCCUAAUUUAUGAAGCUUGUAAACAUUUGGAUACUAUGACUUUCAGGUUGCAGAUAUUACUGUCUACCCCACAGUGGGCAGCCACCGAGUAUUCAGAGCAUAUGUUGUCAACAAAAAGUUACAUCACAGCUGCCAGAAGCCCCAGGCUCAACUCUACUGAAGUUGUGUGAGUCCUGCAGUUCAGAGAGAGAAUUGAGUCAGCAGAAGGGCACUGACUCAGCACUCCCAGGUUGGCCACAGUGGGAUCCAUUCUUCAGUCCUGGCUUUGACCUCAUCCCUAUUGAAAUGCAAC
rnacentral:lncRNA from 1 species